UCCCGUUUAGCUCAGUUGGUAGAGCGCGUCACUAGUACUCGGGAUCAGGCUCGCUUACAUAAUGACGAGGUCAGUCGUUCAAGUCGGCUAAUGGGAA